CAUGUGUAGCGGUGAAAUGNGUAGAUAUAUGGAGGAACACCAGUGGCGAAAGCGGCUCUNUGGUCUGUCACUGACGCUGAGNCACGAAAGCGUGGGUAGCGAACAGGAUUAGAUACCNUGGUAGUCCACGCCGUAAACGAUGAGUGCUAGGUGUUAGGCCCUUUCCGGGGCUUAGUGCCGGAGCUAACGCAAUAAGCACUCCGCCUGGGGAGUACGACCGCAAGGUUGAAACUCAAAGGAAUUGACGGGGGCCCGCACAAGCGGUGGAGCAUGUGGUUUAAUUCGAAGCAACGCGAAGAACCUUACCAGGUCUUGACAUCCCGAUGCUAUUCUUAGAGAUAGGAAGUUACUUCGGUACAUCGGUGACAGGUGGUGCAUGGUUGUCGUCAGCUCGUGUCGUGAGAUGUUGGGUNNNNNNNNNNNNNCGAGCGCAACCCUUAUUGUUAGUUGCCAUCAUUAAGUUGGGCACUCUAGCGAGACUGCCGGUAAUAAACCGGAGGAAGGUGGGGAUGACGUCAAAUCAUCAUGCCCCUUAUGACCUGGGCUACACACGUGCUACAAUGGUCGGUACAACGAGUUGCGAGCCGGUGACGGCAAGCUAAUCUCUGAAAGCCGAUCUCAGUUCGGAUUGGAGGCUGCAACUCGCCUCCAUGAAGUCGGAAUCGCUAGUAAUCGCGGAUCAGCGCGCCGCGGUGAAUACNUCCCCGGGCCUU
rnacentral:rRNA from 1 species